AUGAUCCUGGGGGCUGUGGUGGUCCUGGAGUCCGGGUGGGGGUCCUUGGGGUCUCUGAUCCGCGGGGGGGGGAUCCCAGGGUCUGGUCAGGGGUCCCUGGGGUCUAUGAUGCACGGGGAGGAGUUCCGAGGUCCCCAUUCAGGGUGGGGGUGCUCGUCCCCAGGGGUCGGACAGGGGUCCCGGAGGGGAUGGGGGUGCGCGUGCGGGGCGGGAAUCGGGGGCGCGUGCAGGCGAGGCUGGGGCGCGUGCAGGAGGGGCGGGGGCGCGCUCGGGGGGGGGUGGGAGUCGGGGGCGCGUGCUCGCUCGAGACGGGGGCGCGCGCAAGAGGGGCGGGGGCGCGCGGGGAGUCGGAGGCGCGCGUGGAGAGUCGGGGACGCGCGCGAGGUGGGAAUCAGGGGCGUGCGCAGUGGAGCGGGGGCGCGCUCGGGGCGGGAGUUGGGGCGCGCUCUGGGGAGUCGGGGACGCGCUCUGGAGAGUCGGGGACGCGUGGGGGCGGGGGCGUGCUCGGGGCGGGAGUCGGGGUUGUGCGCGGGGCGGGGGCGCGCGCGGGGCGGGAGUCGGGGGCUCCGGCAGGCGAGGCUGGGGCGCGGGCGCACUCGGCAGGGGGGGGGGGAGUCGGGGGCGCGCGCGCGAGACGGGGGCGCGCGCAGGAGGGGCUGGGGAACACAGGAGAGUCGGGGGCGCGCGCGCGGGGCUGGAGUCGGGGCGCGCGCGGGACUCAGGGCGCGAGCAGGGGCGGGGGCGCGCUGGGGAGUCGGGGGCGCGCUCAGGGCGGGGAGCGUGGGCACGCGCGGGGGGGCGGGCCGUGGGCGCGCUCAGGGCGUGGGCGCGCUCGGGAGGGUCGGGGACGCUCGGGGAGCGGGGGCGCGAGCGCGGGGCAGGAGUCGGGGGCGCGCUGGGGCGUGGGCGCGCUCUGGGAGUCGGGGGCGCGCGCAGGGCGGGGGCGCGCUCUGGAGAGUCGGGGACGCGUGGGGGCGUGGGCGCGCUCGGGGCGGGAGUUGGGGGCGCGCGCAGGGCGGGGAUGCGCUCGGGGCGGGAGUCGGGGGCGCGCUCGGGGCGGGAGUCGGGGGCGCGCGCAGGGCGGGGGCGCGCGCGGGCGGGGCGCGCGCCGGGCGGGAGUCGGGGGCGCGCGUGGAGAGUCCGGGACGCGCGCGAGGUGGGAAUCAGGGGCGUGCGCAGUGGAGCGGGGGCGCGCUCGGGGCGGGAGUUGGGGGCGCGCUCUGGGGAGUCGGGGACGCGUGGGGGCGGGGGCUUGCUCGGGGCGGGAGUCGGGGUUGCGCGCGGGGCGGGGGCGCGCGGGGGCGGGAGUCGGGGGCGCGGGCAGGCGAGGCUGGGGCGCGGGCGCACUCGGCAGGGGGGUGGGAGUCGGGGGCGCGCGCGCGAGACGGGGGCGCGUGCAGGAGGGGCUGGGGAGCACGGGAGAGCCGGGGGCGCGCGCGCGGGGCUGGAGUCGGGGCGCGCGCGGGACUCAGGGCGCGAGCAGGGGCGGGGGCGCGCUGGGGAGUCGGGGGCGCGCUCAGGGCGGGGAGCGUGGGCGCGCGCGGGGGGGCGGGCCGUGGGCGUGCGCAGGGCGGGGGCGCGCUCUGGAGAGUCGGGACGCGUGGGGCGUGGGCGCGCUCGGGGCGGGAGUCGGGGGCGCGCGCAGGGCGGGGAUGCGCUCGGGGCGGGGAGUCGGGGGCGCGCUCGGGGCGGGAGUCCGGGGCGCGCGGGGGGGGGCGUGGGCGCGCUCGGGGCGGGAGUCGGGGGCGCGCGCGGGGCGGGGGCGCGCGCGGGCGUGGGCGCGCUCGGGCGGGAGUCGGGCGCGCGCGCAGGGCGGGGGCGCGCUCGGGAGGGUCGGGGACGCGCGGGGAGCGGGGGCGCGGGAGUCGGGGGCGCGCGGGGGCGUGGGCACGCUCGGGGCGGGAGUCGGGGGUGCGCGCAGGGCGGGGGCGCGCGCGGGGCGGGAGUCGGGGGCGCGCGCGGGGCGGGAGUCGGGGGCGCGCGGGGGCGUGGGCACGCUCGGGGCGGGAGUCGGGGGUGCGCGCAGGGCGGGGGCGCGCUCGGGGCGGGAGUCGGGGGUGCGCGCAGGGCGGGGCCGCGCGAAGGGCGGGAGUCGGGGGCGCGCGGGGGCGCGGGCGCGCGCGGGGCGGGAGGCGGGGGCGCGCGCGGGGCGGGAGUCGGGGGCGCGCGCGCGCGGGGCGGGGCGUGGGCGCGGCGCGGGGCGGGCCGGCGCGGGCGCGUUUCCGCCGUCGGGCCCGGGGCUCCGAGUCCGGCCGGCGGCGCGGAAGCGGCGGCGGCGGCGGCGGCGGCGGCGGCGGCGGCGGGGCAGCCAUGUCGCCUUUGUCCGCGGCGCGGGCGGCCCUGCGGGUGUACGCGGUGGGCGCGGCGCUGGUCGUGGCGCAGCUGCUGCGUCGCUGCGUGCGGGGCUUCGUGGAGCCAGUCUUCUCUCCACAACCGGAACGUGUUGCCAUAGUGACCGGAGGGACCGAUGGCAUUGGAUACUCGACCGCAAAGCAGCUGGCGAAGCUGGGCAUGCACGUCAUCAUAGCCGGAAAUAAUGACAGCAAAGCCCAGGACGUCGUGAGGAGGAUAAAAGAGGACACGCUCAACGACCAAGUCUCUCAAACUGGAAGCACAGAAAUGCAUUUUAGAAAUAUAACGUGCCCAGACCACACCGGCUUCCCUGGUGACUCAGACAGUAAGCAGUCCGCUUGCAGUGUGGGAGACCCGGGUUCGAUCCCUGGGUCGGGAAGACCCCCUGCAGGAGAGCAUGGCAACCCACUCCAGUAUUCUGGCCUGGAGAAUCCCAUGGACAGAGGAGCCUGGCAGGCUGCAGUCCAGGGAGUUGCCAACAGUCAAACAUGA
rnacentral:lncRNA from 1 species